GUUUUAUUUCAUUCUAUUUUAGAAUAUUUCUAUUUUACAUCCAAGCAGUUCAUGCCCAUAGUUUAAAAAGUUUAAAAAGGUACUUUCCCUGCCCUUCCCACCUGACUAGCAACCAGGGCUCCCACCUGACUAGCAACCAGGGCACCCACCUGGAUGAAAGGCAGCCACUUCAACUCUUCCCUGCCUCCCCAUGGCAUUCUCACAUUGCUGUUCUUGACUUUUCACUUUUAGAUAGUGCUACAGUCUGAGUGGUUAUGUUCUCCUAAAAUUCAUAUGUCAGAACUCUAAUCCUUAAGAGAUGGUAUUAGGAGGUGGGGCCUUUGAGAGGUGGUUAGGUCAUGGGUUUGGAGCCCUCACGAGUGGGAUCAGCACCUUUAAAGAAAGCAUCUUUGGGAGGCCAAGGUGGGCAGAUCAUUUGAGGUCAGGAGUUUGAGGCCAGCCUGGCCAACAUGGUGAAACCCCAUCUCUACUAAAAAAAUACAAAAAUUAGCUGGGUGUGGUGGCACAUGCUUGUAAUCCCAGCUACUCGGGAGGCUGAGGUAGGAGAAUUGCUUGAACCUGGGAGGUGGAGGCUGCAGUGAGCCGAGAUCGCACCAUCCCACUCCAGCCUAGGCGACAGAGUGAGACUCUGUCUCAAAACAAACAAACAAACAAAAAAAAACCCAAGGGAGACCCCUCACUCCUUCUACCAUGUGAGGUCACAGCAAGAAGGCGCCAUCUACAAAUCAGAAGGCAGGCUCUCACCAGACAACAAAUCUGCCAGUGCUUUGAUCUUACACUCCCCCCUCCAAGAACUGGGAGAAGGAGAUUUCUGUUGCCUAUAAGCCACACUGUGUACAGGAUUUUGCUACAGUAGCCCAGGUGAACUAAGACAGAUAGUAUCUAUUAACUCUAUCCUAUAGAAAUUGAGGAUUUCACUUCCUCAUAUACCUCCAUACUGCCUGGCACAGACAUACACAUGGACACACACAUGCACACACACGUGUGCACACAUAUGUGGACACACACAUUCACGCGCUCUCAUUUUCUCUAAUGAUGUGAUAAACUAGGGCUGUAUCAGCAUCUAGAGGUUGCCUUACUAUGCCUGUGUGACCAUAUUAACAUUCUCAGCUGAUUUAUAUAACAUUUGUUUUCUUACUCAACUGUUUUUAUUUGUCCUAGAGUUAAUAAUUAUCUAUAUCUUUUUCUUGUUCACUUUCCUAUGUACUUAUCACAAUUGUAUCCUAAAACUCUGCCAGAAGUAGAAAUCUCCUUUCGAGGCAUUCAAACGUAUCUACUAUCAGUUUUAUUUUUAUCUUGGAGACAUCGUUCUAGAACCCUAGCCUCGCUGCUGGCCUUGUUGCCUUCUAGAGUCGCUGCUUCCUUUUUGUCAAUCUCAGGAUGAGAACAUGUUUGGGGGCCAUUAUUCUGCCUACCAUGAUGAAAUUUAUUCUGCUUUUAGCUAGACUGAAAUGUUCAAAUCAACCAACGACAUUUUUCUCCCAGUUCCCCCUCUCUUUGCCAACCAGUAACUCUUUGGAUAUGUAGCUACAAGAAUGCAGCCUUGUUUUCUGGGUCAGAAAGCACUUCCUCUCUCUUUUUAGGAGUCAGAAAUUCAUGUUCUCAUUUUACAGACAGAAAAAUAGAGGCCCAGAGAAUAUGAAUAUUUUGCUGAAAAUCCUAGAGAGCAAAGUUCAGUCUCAUUUCCAAGACUGAUCUUUGUCUUCCACAUGUGGCAUCCAUGACGUUGUUUUCCAGUUGUUCCUGGAUAAUGUGAUAGGCGAGUUACUACAUCAGCAUAAAGCAUUUCCACAUGAUUCCUUGUAGAAGUGCCACCAAAGCAUGUUUCCAGUGCAGAUGGUUAUUCUUCAUUUACCACUUUUACUUUCACAAUUUACUUUGUAAAAUGGGCAUUUUACUCCUAAAUAAGAGAGAAUCAUGUGGUCCUAUUACUUUUAUAGCCAUAAAUAUUGGAAGCCUGAAACAAAAUUUCCAUGUCUUCCACCCACCGCCUCCCUGCCUAGCUUUAGGCUGUGUCGGUGACAGCCAUGACAUCUCAGAAUGGAGCCUGUAGGGGCUGGGUCAGAGCCAUUUAUGGAACAAUGCUCUUCCCUUUGUUUUCAGCGAGCUAGUUGUAAACACAUUUCAGACCUCUUGCUUUCUCUCAAUUCUUCUGCAGUUCACGUUUGAGAUUGCGAGAUGCUAUUUCUUUUGACAACAAUAAAAGCUUCUCCGUUCAUGGUUGGGCCCCAGCUUUGACAGACUAGAAAUGCCACCCAUGUGGGCUCCACAGCUUCCUUACAAGGAAAAGAGUGAGCUGGGGUGACCUGCGCUAGUGAAACCGGCCCUUGGUCCUGAUAUCCAAAGCUCACCUGUCCUGCCUCCGGCUCUGGAAAUGUUUUGUCUUGUGUAUUUUUCAAGACAGUGAAAGAAGACACAGUUUCAUGUUCGAGAAACUGAAGUUCUCAGAGAUUCAGUAACUUGCCUGAAGUUACUAAUAAGUGGUCAAGCUGCAGUUUAAACCUAAACCCAUCGAAGUGCAUGUUGCUUCCAGCUGGGACACCCAGCCCACUUAGGGAUGGCUGGAAUCCUAAGUCCUUCUGUGUCAUAUCUGAGUGUCGACGGAAGUAGCAGAUGCCCAUCCUCAUGGUGAGAACCUUUUCAGACACGGGGUUGGUGACCUGUCCCCAAAGGUCAGUGCAGUGGUCCUGUGUGGGGUGCAGUGUAGGGUAGGGCUCAGCAGGCAAGGUCUUCAAGCCUGCACAGCCAGCCCCAAGCUCUGGAUCUCUGAUUAUUAUGGAAUUGGAUGGGAACAUGAUUCUAACAUAACCCAAGUGCCGAAAGAGAGCAAAUACUCAAAUGGGAAAGCACUGAUGAAUGAAGGUGGAGCUUACCCAAGUUCAAAUAGCUUAACAUUUGCAGGAUUCUCAUAGGAUCUUUACCCUAUGGCUUUUUCCCCCCAGAAAUUUCAAGAAAGGACCAUUAUUAGUGAUGGGAGGAAGGCACCUUGAUACUACUUUCUAACAUCCUUAAAGAAAAACCCCUGGAUGUUCUGAUAUAUUUAAGAAGAAAUAAGAGAUAGGAAGAUAAAUCAGAAGUCCAAAACCCUAGAGUUCUAAGGCCUGCUCUUUCAUUAACUAACUAUAUGACUGGUGGCAACUCAUGCUCCAUGCCUCAGUUUACCCAUAUUUAAAAUAAAAGAUUUGGGCUGGAUCAUUUUUGGUAAAUGCUCAAACUUUAAAAUAUUAUAAGCCAAUAAUGGAACAAAACUAAGUUUCUUCUGAUAAAUGUGUUUCUUUCUCCUGGGCUCCUUCUUCUGUCCUGUAAAAACUGCCCUGACCACCUCCUUUCAAAAGAGUAUUUCCUGUGCUGUGGUGAAACCUCUGUCUUCUUUUCCAAGGCCACAUGCUUCUGCCCACACUAACUUCCCAAGCACUUUCAGGCAUCAGUUCAUUUUCCUCAUAUCACCUACCACAACUUGUCAUUAUAUAUUUAUAGAUUUGUUUGUUUUAUAGAGACUGUUUCUCCUAUGAGAUUGCAAGUUCCAUGAGAACAGCUACUAUGCCUGCUUUGUUUACCAACGCAUAUUCACUGUCCAGCAUUGUGUGUGGAACAUAAAAGGCUCUUGGUUAAUGCCUGCUGAAUAAAUGAAUCUGUCAUCUUCCCUUUUUUGAUCAUUAUCAUAGGUAUCAUUUGUUAAGGGCUUACUAGGGAUCAGACAUUGAGCUGAUGCUUUGCAUGUAUUACCUCAUGAACACAUCACAACAACCUCACCUGGCAGGUUGCAUCUGUUUUGCAGAUGAAGUCACUGAGGAUCCAAGAGGUCAUGGAGCAAAUGCACUCUAGAACCUGGAUCCAAACCACAGCUGACUCACUCAGAGUCUAAGUACUGAGCCCUUGCAAAGUACUACCUUGGGUCCUCAGUGACUCUGAGCAUUAGGUCGGACAUGUAGUAGGUUCUCAGGAUAUGUGUACUGAAUUGAGUCUCUGUGUGAUGGAGCUAACAGAUGGUAAAUGGAGGUCAGUAUUUAUGACCCAUGGGGCUGAUAAUCUGAAGCUUCAAUGCCUGAGGUGGAUUCUGAAAUCUGGAGCAAGGAUUGGUAGAGUAGAAAAUCUCUUUCUAACAAUGAGAUUCAUUCUUGUGUGCGUGGAGAGUUUAACAGAGCUCCUUUCUUCCACCGUAUGAGGGUGUGACUUCAAAUUUUUCUUGAAAUGCACAUUUUUAAUUAGAAGAUUUUAUGUGGGUUGCCAAGCUUCUGAGAACUAAAAGGACACUUGUGCCUCGGGGACACUUACAGAGACUGGUCCCUCGGUAAGUGCAUAAUAAAAAAUACACAGAGAGCAACUGAAAUUAAACCCACAGGGAACCCAUUGCACUUGGUUUCAAAUACCUAAAGACUUGACAGCUACAGAAUAAAGAGAAAGAACAGAAACAAAAGUCAAUGCCAAUUUGCUUAAUUUGGGGUUCUUUUUCCUGAGAGUAUCUUUCUGAGAAUCUAGAGUUGGCAGAAAUGUUGGAGACUGUCAGGUCUAAGACCCCCUCCUGCAGAUGGGAGACUGAGGCCCGAAGAAGUUGUGGCAAGGUCAAAGCAAGGUCAAACCAAGUGAGCUAUGGGUCAGAAAGAAGAGAAGGCAUCACUGUGUGCUACAGCAGGGCCCUAGGAGAAAUUUGCUGGUGGUGAGGAAGAUGGGGAUUGGUGGGGAUUGCAAGAGUAGGGGGUGGGGCGGACAGCUCUCUAGCAAUAUGGCUUCUGCUCUGUUCAAAGCGAAAUUAGAAAUUGUUCAAACAGAAAAUGAGUAUGUCAAGAAAAUCACAUGUCAAGGAAUAUAGAGUCACUUAUUAGUGUUUGUCUCCAGAACAUAAUCUAACGGACUGUAGGAGAAAUCCCAGAUUCUCUUGGGCUCCUUUGCUGCCUCAAGCUCUCUUAUACUUGAAUCCCCCACCCUUAGACACAUUGCUGUCCCUUAAACUUGAGAGUAGCGCCAAUAAAUCUCCAAAUAGCCUGGACUGAACUGGAAUCAGAAUAAUAUUAAUGCACUUAAGGAAAGAAUGGGUCAUUGAAAAGGUGAGGGGUAGUAUCUUAGAAUAUAUAAUUCAAAGGGGAGAAUAGCCUGGUACAUUCAGCACUGCCCAGGUGAAAGGAAUACAGUAUGUGAAGGACGCUAGUAGCUCUAAUCACCAGAGGUAUAGGGUAGGAUGUAGAAGUAUUUCACAGGGAAUUUUAAUAAAAUGUUUCUCCAAGCUGGAUCUGAUUCCAUGGUUGCAAGUAAUCUUCAUAAACUUCAAUGACCAGGCCAGGUGUGGUGGCUCACACUGGUAAUCCUAGUAUUUUGGAAGGCCAAAGUGGGAGGAUCACUUGAGGUAAGGAGUUGAAGACCAGCCUCGGCAACAUAGAGAGAGCUCAUCUCUACAAAAAUUUUUUUUUAAUUAGCCAGGUGUGAUGGUACGUGCCCAUAGUCCUAGCUACUAAAGAGACUGAGGCAGGAGGACCCCCUCAAGCCCAGAAGUGAGCUACAGUGAGUUAUGAUCGUGCCACUGCACUCCAGCCUGGGUGACAGAGCGAGACCUUGUCACUAAAACAUUUAAAAAACAAAACACAACAAAACUUCAACAAUUGAUGACCUGGUGUGUGUUAUUUUUAAAAUCUUGAUUUUAAAGCUUGAUUCUAGGAAUGGGGUAUGAGCAUGUACACAGGACUGCUGAGAGCUGGUUUGAGCACAGUGAAGAAAUGAGACUUGGAGCCCCAUCAAAGGCAGACAGCUAGAAAUCUUCACAGGGGAUUUAUGCUCAAGUCCAAGUCUCCUUUCCACCCUGGCAGCUCCAGCAGCCUGUCCUUAGCUUCCACUUCCUGUGUAGUUCAUCAGCUCUGGAUGGACAUGAGUGGUCCUGUCACUGGGGAAAGAGAUCAUUCUUGCUAUAAAUACAUGGAUGGUGUGGCUUCAGUGUCCACCUCUGUGAAGUGAGUUGUUGAAACGAUAUCUUAGGAAGUCUAUGAACCUGUGAUAUGGUUUGGCUGUGCCCCCACCCAAACCCCAUCUUGAAUUCCCACGUGUGGUGGGAGGGACUCAGUGGGAGGUAAUUGAAUCAUGGGGGCAAGUCUUUCCUGUGCCGUUUUCAUGACAGCGAAUAAGUCUCACAAGAUCUGAUGGUUUUAAAAAGAAGAAUUCCCCUGCACAAGCUCCCUCUCGUUGCCUGCUGCCAUCCAUGUAAGAUGUGACUUGCUCUUCCUUGCAUCCACCAUGAUUGUGAGGCUUUCCCAGUCACGUGGAACUGUUUUUAAGGAGCAACUGGACAACCACAGAUCCUGCACAACCACGGAUCCAGGCCAACCCUAUCAUUUUGCAGAUGAAGCAACAGAAGCCCACAGGGACGAAGUGACCAGCUCAGAACCUCCAGCAGUCACUGGCCAGGCCAGGAAAAGAAUUCAGGUCUCCUGACUUCCAAAUAAGUGUCCUUUCCAUGGCAUAUGCAUAAGAUAUGGUUACAAUGGAAACUACUUUUUUUCUUAUCCCAUUAGCCAGAAAAGUUCAUCUAAGAAACAGGUGACUGAUGGGAAAGUUUGCCUACUGGAGGCAUGAGGAAAUCAAGUUACUUUAUUGUAAUUAGACAGUAGUUCUUUUCUUUGACUGAGAGGAGAGUGAAAAGUGCAAGGAGAAACAAGACAAAGAACGACUGCCUAGAAGUUACUCCAUUAUGGUUUGCUGCACUGUCCUAUCCACAAAGAUACUUGCCUGCCAUUCCUUGCCUGUGUGACUUCCAGUGAGUCACUUGACUUCUCUGGACCUUGGAAGCUCUUGUGCUCUCUGAGAGCACAGCAGAGGCCCUGUUCUGGCCAUUGGACAUCAUGAAGAUCUGUUGUCCUCCCCAGAUGGACACACCCUAGAUCAGCACCUUCUUUUCUUCCUUGUCUCAGUACUUCUUAUAGAGCCAGGAUAUCCUUAAUGUUUUGUGGGUUUUUUUUGGGGGGGGGGUGCGGGGGCGGGUGGGGAGGGUAGGUAUUUUGUGCAUUGAAUAAUUGUCUUCCCAGUUGGAUAUUUUUUGGGGGCUUUGACUGUGUCUUUUUGCUUCUUUUAACAUGUUUCUUGCUGGGUCUUGUCUCGCUUAUAAGGCAGGAACCCAGACCCCUGCAACGAGUCGCACUCUGGUAUUUCCAGAAGCCCUGGAUGGCUUUAUAUGUGCUCCCAUACAAUUAGUUCAGCCAUCUUUGUCUCUUAACACUGUUCCAGAACUCUCUGCGCAGACCAUGACAUCUUCCUGGCAUCACUGAUACUUCCACUGGGCACUGCUAUGCCCUCUUGUCACUGCCUUACCAGCUGCAGAAAAUGACUAUAGUUGCUCCCUUUAUUUUCUUUCUUUUUCUGAUGUGUGUGUAUUUCCAAUUUCCCCCCUCCCUUUCUGCUACUAUUUAUUUAGUCCCCAGGUGACUGGAUAGCUAGAUAGGAUUUUGACUGCACUGGAAAAGGAAUAAACACCACCCAGAGCUGGAAACACUGACCAUGAGACAUGGAGUCUUUCCUCCUGCGGGGAAGGGAUGGACAUUUUCAUUUGUAGAAGGGCUAGUUGUAUAAGGUAAGAGCAUGCUGCUGCUGUUAUCAUUUAAAAGUUUAAUUAUGGAAAGAAGCAUAUAUGUGGAUGUUAAAUAAUAAAAAAGGUGGAAUAUUGCUCACUCAACACCUAUCUCAAGCCUCUGAGCUUGCCUUUCUGAGCUACAGGAUAGAAAACUAAAAUUAGAUUUCCUAAUUCUUCUUCCAGCUAGGGAGCUUCCUUGAGAAAUGGUGUAGUACAAGUCCUGAAAUUAAGAUUAAAUAGCAUGGGGAGGCCUCAAAUGGCCUAAUCUCAAGUCCCUUGCCCACUCUGCUGUGGCAGAUAAGGUCCCCUAACCAAACAAGCCCUCCUUGUCAGGGAGACCAGGCCCAGUGUCUGCUUAUCCCUGAGUGGUGGGCUUCAGGCCCCUGCCAGCACACAGAAAUAUUCAGACAAGCCACAUGCAUCCUCUCGUGGGAAGCAGGCCUCACCUCACCCUCUGUUAUUGGAAAGACUGCCUCCCACAGACCCUGUUUGUUCAUUGUGCUCCCAAAUAGAAUCCCCAUAUGGCCCUGUACAGUAUGCACUGUCCUCCUCCCCUGGACAGUGAGUGUAUAUGACUAAUAAACUGAUGUUUAUUUCAUCUAUCCGGUGCUGGGUGUCAUAUGUUUGACCAUUCCUAUAACCCUAGAGGGCUAGGGAAACCCUCCCUCAACAAUUACCUGAAGAGGAAGUGAUUGAAAUACAUGGCUCUAGCAAAUAGGUGGUCUUGCAUGAGAUUUUGGGGCAGAAGUAAGAAACAUGGGAGUAGCAAUGUGGAGAGUACAGAGACAGAGGCAUCUGUUCUUCCAGGGGAGCCGUGGAGAAAAUGGUAGUUUUCACCAUGGAAUACUAUGCAGCCAUAAAAAGGAAUGAGAUUGUGUCCUCAGCAGGGACAUGGAUAAAGCUGGAAGCCAUUAUCCUCAGCAAACUAACACAGGAACAGAAAACCAAACACUGCAUGUUCCUGCUUACAAGUGGGAGCUGAAUGAAGAGAACACAUGGACACAGGGAGGGGAAAAACACAUAGUGGGGCCUGUUGAGGGGUGGGAGGGAGAGCAUCAGGAAGAAUAGCUAAUGGAUGCUGGGCUUGAUACCUAGGUGAUGGGUUGAUCUGUGUAGCAAACCACCGUGGCACACAUUUACCUGUGUAACAAACCUGCACAUCCUGCACAUGUACCCAGGAACUUAAAAUAAAAGUUGAGGAUAAAA
rnacentral:lncRNA from 1 species